AGUGUCCUCAACAACCGGGAUCACUAGAGUGUGGCUACUACGUCAUGCGUUUUAUGUACGAUAUAUUUACAAAGCAUCGUGAUAGUCAAGAUCUUACUACGGAUUAUUCAAGAACAAAGCCUUUUUCAUUCGAGGAGAUUAAUGAGGUUAAAGAAUUUUGGGCUGAUUACUUUUUGACCAAUUCCGAUGUAAAUCUAGCUAGCUAGUUUGUUGUAAUAUUGGUUUGUUAGGUUCGUUAUCAACAUGUUGGUUGAACGAUAUGAUAUGAUGGAUUGCCUUUUAAUGGGGUUGUAAAACUAUAUUUGACAGGUGCAUGUAUUAUAAUUCCCGAUUAUUGGGAAGUGUUAUAUUACAAAGGAGAUUCUGUCAAAAUUUUCAACUA